GAUGAAGAACGUAGCGAAAUGCGAUAAGUAAUGUGAAUUGCAGAAUUCCGUGAAUCAUCGAAUCUUUGAACGCACAUUGCGCCCUCUGGUAUUCCGAGGGGCAUGCCUGUCCGAGCGUCAUUUGCAACCCUCAAGCCCGGCUUGUGUGAUGGGUGCCGUCCCCUACGGGACGCGCCCCGAAGGCAAUGGCGGCGUCGCGGUUAUCCGAUCAGCCAAAGUGUAUGGGGCUUUGUCACUCACUUUACGGCCCGGACCGGCGCCAGUCCGAAUCAAUCUUUUUUCUAAAGUUGACCUCGGAUCAGGUAGGGAUACCCGCUGAACUUAAGCAUAUCAAUAAGCGGAGGA
rnacentral:misc_RNA from 1 species